GGUUUGUUAUAUGUUUUUUUUUUUUUUUUUCCUUUAAACUUAGGGCUUGUAGCUGGUGUGAAUAAUUUCUGAGAGUUCUGCUUACUGGAAAAUCAUCUCCUUGUCUUCUUCUGUUUGUAUUCCAAAACAGACUAUUUAAGAAAUAGCUUUGUGAGUGUGAAGCUGUUCUGUAAUUGAGACCAUGAUAUGUUAUUAUUUUAAAUCUCAUAUUAACUGAAAUGGUGGUUUAUAUUUUAAUGCCUGUCCAACAUGGUUGUGUUUGGUUGCUAAUGGUGAGGAGGCUUAUUAUAUGUAUAAAGAAAAUGGAGAGGUUAUAGUCUAGCUUACAGAGUGAAAAUAAUUAUUUGAAAUUAAGACAUAAUUGCUAACAUAAAAAUGAGAGGGGGAUAGUGAGAAAAGAGACAAUAUUUGGAAAGCAGCAGUGCCUGGGACCAACAUGCAACACUAAUGACUUUUGUCAUUUGUGCCUGAUUUCUAAAAAUGAACUGGUUUUUUUUUUUUUUUUUCACUCUUUUAAUAGUAUGGAUGAGAAAGUGAAAGUGGGGGUGUAUGUGAAAACGUGUGCGGGUGUUUGUGUUGUGUUUUAGAUGGAAAAUGCUGUUUAUGUGUGAGUAUGUGGUUUCAGGAAAUCUGGUGUUAAACUCUUGUAAGAUUUUUUUCUUAUAAAUCUAAAUUUGCUUUCAGUGAAUCAGAAUAAGCUUGUGUUACUAGAUAAAUGGGACAGGAAAAUGAUUUAAUUCUCUAAUAAUGACUUCCUCCUUAUCGUGGCUCUUAAACCUCAUUAGCAUUUUUUCCAAGGGGAAAAACAAACACCUUUAUUCUAUCUAUAGAAAUCAUAGAAAUGGAAAAAUUAGCUUUUACCAAUUCAGAGACUGAGUUUGAAGGGUUAGUAGCCCUGUUGUGAGCACUUUAAAGUUAUUAAAAAACUGUCUGUAAAAUCUUAAAUAUGGCCAAUUUUUUCCCUAGUAUAUAUUGUCUCUUAGCAAUAUAAGCUAAAAUUCCCGGUAGGAUUAAUCUUUUAAAAGCAGCCAUAUAUUUUUUAAAUGAACAAGCCAUUUUGCAUCUGUGUGCUUCUAGUUCUGUUGAUUAAGCCUUUCUAAACGGCACAGCAGUGAUAAUGUACAAGGCAGCGAAGAGUCUGUCAGCGUUUCUGACUGACUGGAAGACUGUGGAGAGAUCCUGAGUUUCAUCGUCAAACUGGCAGGUUUACGUCUGCAGUAUUUGAGGUCAUGUUUAAUUUCCGUGAAGAAUAGCUAUAUAGAUGAAUUUAUUUUUCCUAAUCGCCAUUCUGUCAUAACACCUAUCAGAUGGGCAAAGACAUUUUUGAUUCUGAAAGUGUUUUUCUUCAGUUGUUGCUGUCCAUGAAGAAGAAAUGUCUCUCCCUCUCAAAAUCAUACUGUUUUGAACCUCUGUAGCCAGUGUUCAAGUAGACUGCGGGACUAAGUCAAACAUGUUUGUUGGCUUCUAAUUUCAAAAGUGCCCUGAGCAAGACUUGCCUGCAGCCUGUCUCAUGAGACGCCACCUCUAAAGUAUUAAGGCAAAAUCAGUAUCUGGGCUCGGCCUUCAGUGAAAUUAAAUUACUGACAAGCUGAAACCGAGAGGUCACAAAGUUACAGCCGUAGUAGGAAGUAUGCAGCACAACUUGUUUCAGUGGCAACCGCACGUCCAUAAAAGCAAGAGGUGUCCAAGGAGUCCUAGGGAGAAGGCCUGUGUGAGGACCUCGGCACUAAACCGAGAGCAUCGCCCUGAUCGUGCCGUGUUGUUGGACCCAAGAGCACGAGGGUCAGCCGCGGGGCUGCUGCAAAGGAAGCGAAGGGUGGAGACGUGAGGAAGAGGGCGAAUGGCUCAUCUAAACCUGUUGGUCAGAGCUCCUGUGCCCUGAGAUAGCAUUUGUAUAAAAGGAAGCAGGUUUGAAGGAAAGCAAAAAAUUCCUUACAAAUUAGUAAUUAAUGCGUUUCUCUUUAGUUUCAGUUCUUAUGUAACGUGGCAGCUUCUGUAGGUCAAAAAUCUUGUCCUAUACUGACUGUAGGUUAAAGGACUUCGUGUUGGUCAGACCAGUGGUGCUCCACUGGGGGCAUUUUUGCUCCCCAGGGGACGUUUGAUGAUGUUUGGACUUCCCUGAUGGCUCAGAUGGUAAAGAAGCCGCCUGCAAUGCGGGAGACCUGGGUUCGAUCCCAGGGUUGGGAAGAUCCCCUGGAGGGGUGCAGGGCAACCCACUUGAGUGUUUUUGUCUGGAGAAUCCCAUGGACAGAGGAGCCUGGCAGGCUACAGCCCAUAAAGUCAGAAAGAGUCAGACACGACUGAGCAGCUAGGCUUAGCACAGGGGAUACUUCUGGUUGUUACAGCUAUGAAGGGGGUGCUGCUGCCAUUGAAGGGGUCAGAGAUGCUGCUAAAAACCCUUUAGUUAACAAGACCACCCCCAUAACAAAGAAUUUCUGAUCCCAAAUAUCAGUAGUCCUGAGGUUGAGAGGCCCUGAAUUAGAAUUUGUAGAUUUCCACUCUGCCAGCAAGGUAAUUGUGCAGCAGGAAGGAUAAACUUUAUUUCAACUCAGCUGAAAUAUUACUUUACUUAUGAAUAUAAUGACACAUAUUUCUGUGUUAGUAUGUUUGUUUAUUUAAAGGAAAGUUUUGUUGUAAUUGGAUCAUGCAGUACUUGGACAUUAGCUUGCUCUUCUGCAUACAUUAAAAUUAACAAAAAUGUGGCAAACUGUUUAUUAUUUUAAAUGCUCUAUCAAAAUUCAACCCCUAAGAUACUGUAUUCACAGUUCACAGACCUGUUGUUGGUCUUGCUGCAAGUAUAAUCUAAGAUACAUGUUUCCAGGACAUACUGAGGGCAGAUAGGAAAGGACAGUUCAUACCUACAUGUUGGCAAGGGUGAGGUUUCUUUUUUUUGUUGUUAGUGGACAAUAGUGAUUAACAGCAUAGAUGAUGUACAGAGCCUGGGAGAGUUGUGUGUUGUAAGAAUGAGUGGCAGGAACAGAAGCAAUUAAUUUAAAGACUCAUUGCUGUUAAAUAACUUCACUUCAAUAAUCUGAACCUAAUUACAAAUCUUGUUUUCCCAUAAUUUGAGAUUUACUGUUUAAUUUGUAAUAAUUCUCACUAGUCAAACAAGCUAGGGUACUCUCUAUAUUUCUUUAAUCAUACUCAUCAAUCUUCUAAUUGAAUUAUCUUAUUCAAAGGAAGUAAUAGUUUAAAUUUUCCAAAUAUGUUGGAAUUACUCCACUUAUUUUGGGACAACAUAUAUGCAAAAGUCAGUUGAUACUUUAAAUUUUGAAGUUACUGACUUGGAUGGAUAGGGUCUGUCUUCACUUCUUUUUCUUCCCAAAAGUAUAGUAGGCAAACUGAUGACUUAGCCUCCAUGAUGGUAGAUGGAGGUUGAACCUAUCCUAGCUGAGAUGUGUAGUGAGGCCGUGAAAUGUAGCUUCUCCACCAAUGAUUAACUGCGUUGUAUUAUUAACCAUUUCCAAGCUAUCCAUACUGAACUUAGAAACACACAUAAUCUGCAGAGAAGAGAGGGUGUGACUCCGACAGAGCCGUCUCUGCACAAUUUCUAUAAAAGUCCUAUAGGAGGGCAAGCACAGUGACGGGAGGCAUGCUACCCACACUGGAGAGCGCCUACAGCAGAUGUCCCGGUCUAUACGGUAGCAUCUGGACAUUAAGAGCCGAAGAGCGAUCACUCGUUGUGGGAAGCACCUCAACACAGUAGCCCCGACGUCCUAGAUUGUAGGAACUGAAGCUGGCAGAAAGAAAGAGGCAUGGGGGAAACAUUCCCUUAAAGAUGGACACCCAUUGAUGGAAGCCUUGAACCAGAGUUGUCUGCUGCUGGGUAGCUAGAAGAAGCGCCAUCCUGAUGGGCUGAAGGUGGUGGAUGGGCAGGAGCAUUGCAAUGAUCUACAGCGUACAACUCUAAGGGAACAAUGGAUUUGGACUGAUGAAUAUCACCUAAGUGGGAGUAUCACUCUACUAGAGUAUCCAGAAUAUUUCCAGAUUCCUCCAUCAGGUCUAGGUUUAGACACACUGGAGGAUGAUAUCUGUCUGUCAGGCAUUUUACAUUAGUUAUUUCUAACCUAGUAACAGCCUAGCCAGCUAUUUCCAUUUUGCUUCAGGUACAUGAAAUGAAAAGAGUCAGAAGAGUAAGUUGCUUAGCUUAUCCUGGACAAAUAACAGAGCUAGGAUUUAAAUUCAGGGGGUGUCUUAGCCUACAGUGCUUGGACUGCUUCCUCUCUAUUGUCUAAACAGACUUGAACAGCGUUUAAAAACUUACUGAUAUUCUUUCUAGUGUUAUGGGACUGGAAUUGAGUUGCUGUUUAACCAGGCGGGGUAUACCCCAGAUGGAUUUGUGUGUAUGAUUGAUAUUAUCUCGUUUGAUACAUGGCAAAUAUCUUUAUGUUAUAAUUAAAAAAUUUCCCCAAGUUUGUAAUCUAAGUGACUUCAAAUAAAUAUAAUAUUGCUAUAUGCCAUCAAAUCUAAAAUCAGUGAUACAUAGGGAAUUCCUGUAAUUUAGGAAUGUUAAGUGGAUGAAUGUGUGCUUUAGAAAAGAAGAAAUAUGCUAUAUGUGUGGUCUUUACACGCUGGCUAGUAGAGAAAUAAUGGAGUAUCUGGAUUUUAUUGAUAGGUACACAUAAAUGCCUUUAUAGGCUUUAUGACUGUCACACAGGUAGCUGUUGUUCAGUUGCUCAGUUGUGUCCGACUCUUUGUGACCCCAUGGACUGCAGCAUGCCAGGUUUCCAUGUCCUUCACUGUCUUCCAAAGUCUGCUCAAACUCAUGUCCAUUGAGUCGGUGAUGUUGUCUAACCAUCUCAUCUUGUGUUGCCCUCUUCUCCUCCUGCCCUCAAUCUUUCCCAGCAUCAGGGUGUUUUCCAGUGAAUUGACUCUCUGCAUCAGGUGGCCAAAGUUUUGGAGUUUCAGCAUCAGUCUCCUUCCAGUGAAUAUUCAGGGUUGAUUUCCUUUAGGAUUGAUUGGUUUGAUCUCCUUGCAGUCCAAGGGACUCUCAAGAGUCUUCUCCAUCACAUAAUUCAAAAGCAUAAUUCAAAAUCAAUUCUUGGGCACUCAGCCUUCUUUAUGGUCCAGCUCUCACAUCCAUACAUGACUACUUGAAAAACCAUAGCUUUGACAAAAUAAUGUCUUUGCUUUUCUAGUAUACUUUCUAGGUUUGUCCUAACUUUCCUUCCAAGGACACAAAUAGUUAUAAAUGUUCAAUUGUAUUUGCCAUGGUAGUGGAACAUUCUUGUCAAAGAUUGUGGAUUGUAAAACCUUACUAAUCUCAAUUGCUCGGGAUCAUACUACCACACUUUGACCUUUAUAGAGGUGGCAUGAGACCUAUCUUUAAAAUAGAACUGGCAGGAAAUUAUUCUAAAUAAAUUAUUUAUUCACCAGUUUUUGAUACUUCAUUUUACUUGUCAAAACCAAUCUAAGCCAUGACUCUCUCUUCCAAACAUCCUUGGCUGGGAAUAAGUGCUUAUAAAUUAUUUAUAUAUAUGUGUGUUUGUGUAUAUAUGUGUGUGUGUGUGUGUUUACAUAUACAUUUUUUCAUUAGAGCUUAGGUCAUUGUAUAUUAAAUCUCAUACAAAGCCUUAGUGAUUGAUAAUUGAAACUCCUGUUUGAAAGCUCAAACUGUAAGCAAAAAAGGUCAACCAUGGUCAUAUUACGUAGCUUACUGAAUUAAAGAAGAAGAAUUAACUUGAGUACAUUGCCAAAAGUCAUGCUAUCGGUGUGGUGAUUGGAGGGUUUGAAACAGGUGGUAGACAGAUCACCAAGUGUUACAAUAAAUAGCACAGUCUAAUUCCAGUAAGAUGAAACUCCUGGAGGAUCAGAUAGUGACUCAAAAAAGCAAAGUCCAAGAAAUGACUCAAGCCCAGAGACACUUUCAGAAUUCCUUUACUAAGACUUCUAACAAAUGGAGGGGUCACUUCUUGUACCAAGUCAUUAGAAGUUAUUUGUUGCGAGUUGUUGAAUGUAAACCUUUCAUUCAUAAGAAGAAAUAUUUGUUAAACUUUUAUAUUGUGAUGUUUUAGAGGGCCAAAGAUAGAUGAAAGUCAUAGUAGCCUGAGAUAGAGAUAUAGGAGUGGAAUAAAAACAAGGAUACAUUUCCUUUUUAAAAAAAUAUUUAUUUUAUUUGAAGGGUGAUUGCCUUACAGUAUUGUGCUGGUAUCUACCAGACAUCAGUAUGAAUCAGCCAUAGAUGUACCCAUGUCCCCUCCCUCUUGAACAUCCUUCCCACCCAUCUGGGUUGUUAGUGAGGGCUGGUUUGAGGUCCCUGAGUCAUAGGGCAAAUUCCAGUUAGCUAUCUAUUUUACAUAUGGUAAUAUAGGAGCAUUUCCUUCUAGAUAUCUAGUGGAAUGAGUUGGCUGCAAUAAUAGAAAACACUUGUUUUAAGACUACUGACUCUGUGAAAAGGAGGGAAGGUACUGCUUUUGAGAGAGGGAGUGGAGGAGAGUGGAAAGAAAAUAGCACCUGAAUGCUUUGCUUAAUGCCUUGUAUAAUCUUAAACCUCUUUAUAAACAAGAGUCGUUGCCUGAGUUUACAGAUAUGGAAUCUGAGAGAUUUGGUGGCUCAUUCGAGGUCACAUCCUUAGCGCAAGUAGGAAACCUCAUUAGGAUUCAAACCCAGAAUUGUAAUAAUUCUACCUCUAAAUGUUGGAGAAGGAAAUGGCAACCCACUCCAGUAUUCUUGCCUGGGAAAUCUCAUGAACAGGGGAGCCUGAUGGGCUGCAGUCCAUGGGGUCACAAAGAGUCAGAUGCACCUUAGUGACUAACACACCUCUAAAUGUGUCCUAAUGAAAGACAGAGGAUGAUCACACAAGGGAAUUUUUAAUGGGUUAAUGUGUAUCUGUCAGACACAAGGUCUAUUAAGUUGGUUGGGUAGGAAGGAAGGAAGGUAGGUAGGAAGGAAGUUCUGUGGAUACAGAAGAAUUUGUAAUUUUUAGAAGAUAUGCAUGAAAAAUUACUCAGACUUGAUUGAGUUACAGUGCUUUUAAACUGGUGCUUCUCAAAUGUGCGUAUAAAACACCUUGGAGUCAAAUGCAGAUUCUGAUUCAUUAGGUUGGGACAGGGCUGGGAUUCUGUAUUUUUAGCAAAUUCCCAGGCCAUGCCAAUGAAGCCCACACUCUGAGUAACAAGGAUUUAUGCAAUCAAUGAUAGUAAUAGCAUAUUGGAGCAAGGGUUUAAUAAAGAUAGCAGGGGAGAUAUAAGACUCGACUGUGGAUCUGGAAGAUAAGAGAGGUGGGAGAAGGCUGCAGGAAGGUUUGUUAAUCCAAAGGCAGAGAGGAGUUCUAAUCUGUUAUUUCAGAGAGCCUUUUAGAUGCAAAGGAAUAAGUAAAGUCAAGUAAGACCUCCAUUCUUGAUGCCUAUACUUAAUUGGGGGGAGAGGUUGGGGGUGUGAGGCAUGAAUUUCUAGUCUAGGUUGGAUGAUUGGAGACAGGAUGACAGGUCAGUUUGGACUAGCUUGAGUGGUACUUCGAGUACCACUGGGAAAGUUUGAACUGUCUCUUAGUGGGAUUAUUAACAAAAGCUUGGUGCAGAAGGUUACGAUGUCAGGAGAGAUUUAUUUAUUUAAUUGAAAAAAUUGGGGCAUGCCACUUGAUAUGUGGGACCCUAUUAAUAGUUCCCCAGUCAAGGAUUGAACCCACGCCCCGCUGUGUUGGAAUCAUGGAGUCUUAACCACUGGACAACCAGGGAAGUCCCAGAAGCAGAGAUUUAGAAAGAUGGAGUAAUGAAGUAGUAUGUAAAGUGGAUUGACUGUGAACAGAUUAGCAUGGAGGCUGUGGGAGAUGUCAGGACAUUGUUGCAAAACACCCACGAACUGCAACAGUUUCCUGACAUCUCUUCCGGCCUCCAAGCUCCUCAGUUCUGUCAGUCCAUUUUAUAUACUACACCAUUACCCCAUCUUUCCGAAUCUCUGCUUCUGAGACUUCCCUGGUAGUUCAGUGGUUAUGGGUGUGUGGGGGCUUCCUCGGUGGCGCUAGUGGUAAAGAACCCGCCUGCCCAUGCAGGAGAUAUAGGAGACGUGGGUUCUAUCCCUGGGUCAGGAAGAUCCCAUGGAGAAGGGCCUGGCAACCCUUUCCAGUAUUCUUGCCUGGAGAAUCCCAUGGACAGCGGAGCCUGGCAGGCUGCUGUCCCUAGGGUGGCAGAGAGGCAGACAUGACUGAAGCGACUUAGCACACAUGGCUGUUUGAUAAGGAUGCCAACAGCUGAAAAUAGUGAAAAUGUAAAUGAGGAGUAGAUAUUUGAAGUAGGCAUGAUGGGGAUUGAUUAGAGUGAAAGAAAAAGAAGGACCAGUUUUUGAGCUUGUGUAGCUAUUAGCAGAAAGGCAGUUUGGGGACAAGAUGAAAAUGAAGUUUUAACACAUUGCAUUGGAUGUGAUAGUGAAGCACCCAAAUGGAAAUGUAGGAGUUGUUAAUACAUUUAAUCAGAAAUUAUGGUCUUUUUUCCUUACUUUAAACUCCAACGAGAAGAGGGAAUUUUGUUUGAAUUCCAAAAUCUCUUUUCUGUAGGGCCUUCCAGAAAUGUUAGGCUGAUUUUUUUGCCUUAGGAACUACUUUGGAGUAAGGGCAGUGGGAAUGUCAUGCCCGCAAGGUAAACAUCAUGGGCUUGGCCUCUGGACCCAGUUGUGUAUUCAAAUCAGUUUAGACAGUCGAGCAUCACUGCGUGUCCUGGGCUUGGGGUAAAUCGUAAAUAACCCUGUUUGUGUGGUAGUCACAGUCUGGGCCAGUGUUGGCCACAACUAACCCCACUCACUUGUUCUGUACAUUCUCCUACAACAUGAGCAAAAGUUGUCCCUUUUCUAUCCAUUCAAUAUCUUUUAAAUCUAAGCUCUGCAUUUCUUAUAAGCAGCUCUUUCAGACAAAAAUAUCUGCAACCCCCUUAGAAUAGAUUGUUUCAGGCACACCACAUGCAAAUUCACAUAACAAAAUGUACUUGUCUCCCUGUUUUAUCCCCCACCAAUGCAAACGCUAUUCCCAAACAACAGCAUUGGAAAACAAACCCACAGAGUCUGCAAAACAUCUGAUUCAGCUUGACAAGGUUUUAUAACCAAACUGCUUCUACUUCUCUUCAUCAAGGUUGGAAAAUUAUCAGUGUUUUAGGACAGGUUCAACACCACGGAAUUUGAUUCAAUAAAUGGAUGGAUAAAUGAAUGAGUUUAACAAGUAUUUAUUGAGUUCUUACUAUGGGCAUGGCACUGUUCUAGGGAUUCAGGAUCUAGUUUUGUGGUUAAAAGGACAAAGUCUUGCCCACCUUAGGCAUAAAUUCUAAUAGAGAGGACAGUAAUGAAUAGAAAUAUAAGGUAAUGGGAGCUGUGAUAGGAUUAUCAGACAGAAUAAGUCAGUGUGUAGAGAUCAUGUUUGGAAGGUUCUCUUUGACAUGAUAUUUUAAGCAUUUUUUAGAUAAAAUUCUAUGUUCGGUAGAUUUUAAAUCUACUAAUAAAACUAGCUGUUGGGAUUAAUGUUUGAUUCUGUUAGGCUCAUAAACCAUUUUGGUAAGCUUAUCUCCUGAAACACGUCCAGUGAUUUGAAGCUUUAGUGUAUUUCACAGUAAGGCAUCAGAAAGGAGGUGUAUUGACCUAUGAAGGUUGGGGUGCUUCCGUGUCUGUGCACGUGAGGCCUCCUCUCCUCUGCAUCUGCCCCCCCAUCUGACAGGCUGCUGGCUGGCACAGCUAGUGGUCUAUGCAUUUAGAUUUCACCCUCACAAAUGAAUUGAUGGUUUAGUUUUUGUUCUUAAGGUUUUAUAUGGUUUUGAAUUCAAAGUAGCUUGCUUUGAUCAGAUGAUUAAAUGCUUCGGUGCAUGCAUGUGCGUUCAGUUGCUCAGUCAUGUCCAACCCUUUGGGAACACAUGGACUGUAGUACACCAGGCUCUUCUGUCCAUGGGAUUUCCCAGGCAAGAAUACUGGAAUGGGUUGCCAUGACUCCUCCAGGGGAUCUUCUCAACCCAGGGAUUGAACCUGCGCCUUGUGCAUUGACAGAAGGAUUCUUUACCACUGAGCCACCAAGGAAGCCCCAUGACAGUGUUAACUAUAGGCGUGCACAGAGGAAUCUGGCAGGCUACAGUUCAUGGGGUCGCAAAGAGUUGGACACAACUGAGUGACUCAAUCAUCACCAUAGGCAUAAUGUACCAGCAGAUCUCUAGACUCAUUCAUUUUUUAUAACUGAGCUAUCCUAUACUCCAGU